GGUUGAGAUGAGGUUGCUCCGAGCCAUUGUUGAUUACAGUAUGGACAGACAGAUCGCGCUCACUUUGGCUCGAUACCUGGAGAAAGAAGAGCGAUUUCUUCCACCGCCGAGCAUCAGAGUCGUGGUGACUGUUGAGCAGACGCAGGAGGAGAUCGAGAGAGCAGCGCAGUGCAUUCGAGAAGCAGCUGUGAAGAUCCUGAAAUGAUGACCGAUCAUGACAUGACAGCGAGAGCAUCCCGCCUGAUGGCUCGGUGACCUUUGACCCUGAAGACCUCAAGUGCACACAACUCCACUGGAUGCAUACACUGAUUGAACCUGUUUGUAUUAUAUUUAUGUUUCCAUAGCUGCUGUACAGAUAAUGUUGAUUAUUUUAGUCUUCAUUUCACAUUGAAAUAAAUGCAGAGCUGGUUCUUCACGCUGUUUGCGGUUGGUGUGCACCAUCAAACCUAUUUAUGUUGUGUUCAAUGCCUUGAAUAAUGAUGGGAGAUCUUGACUAUAAUCAACAAUAAAUAUGCCAUAAAAAAAGAACAAUUAUUUUAUAUGUAAAGUCAGUUUUUAUAUACACUAAUAAUUACAUUCCUUUGUUGCCUUUGACCAAAGAGUAGCUUCUUUACUACAUGAGGAUCCUUUCACAAUGUUUAUGCACUGCAUAUUGACUUUUUUUUUUUUUUUUAUCCAUGCAUUCUGAAUAAUGCAGUUAUUCUUAUUUGACUCUUGCAUUGUGCAUUGUGAGUGUUCUGGGUCAAUAGCAAAUGCUUGCACACACUUGAGAGAGAUCCAAUAUGAUCUGGUUUAGGUUCUGUGAUUGACAUUAUAUCAAAAUGUAACAUUGUUUUCAAACAAAUUUCAAGAAUAAAAAUCAUUUCAGACUUUAAA